rnacentral:rRNA from 1 species
GGUUUCUUGUUUAUAUAAGAGAUUUAACCUGCCCACUGAAAAGUUUUGAAGGGCCGCAGUACUUUGACUGUGCAAAGGUAGCAUAAUCAUUAGUCUUUUAAUUGAAGGCUGGCAUGAAUGGUUGGACGAGGUAAAGACUGUUUUAUGUUAAUUUGAUUGAAUUUAGACUUUAAGUAAAAAGACUUAAAUGUUAUUAAGGGACGAGAAGACCCUAUAGAGUUUAAUAUUCGUGAUAUUUGAUUAAGUUAUUAAUAAAUUUUAGGUCAUUAUGAAGUUUAUUUAAUUGGGGUGAUUGGAAGAUAAGAUAAACUCUUCUUUGAAUUUAAUAAUAUAAGUAAUUAUAUGAUCCAUGUAUAGUGAUUGUAAGAUUAAAUUACCUUAGGGAUAACAGCAUUAUUCUUUUUGAGAGUUCAAAUCGAAAGAGGAGAUUGUGA